rnacentral:rRNA from 1 species
GCGAGUCGAGAGGGUUCGGCCCUCGGCAGACUGCUCAGUAACACGUGGAUAACCUACCCUCAGGCGGAGAAUAACCUCGGGAAACUGAGAAUAAUACUCCAUAGAUCUAGGAUGCUGGAAUGCGCCUAGAUUGAAAGCUCUGGCGCCUAAGGAUGGGUCUGCGGACUAUCAGGUUGUAGUCAGGGUAAAGACCUGACUAGCCUACGACGGAUAUGGGUUGUGAGAGCAAUAGCCCAGAGACGAUAUCUGAGACACGAUAUCGGGCCCUACGGGGCGCAGCAGGCGCGAAAUCUUCACAAUGUGCGAAAGCACGAUGAGGGGAUCCCAAGUGCUGGCACGUAAGUGUCAGCUGUUUCUUUGUCUAAAAAACAGAGAGAGUAAGAGCUGGGUAAGACGGGUGCCAGCCGCCGCGGUAAUACCUGCAGCUCAAGUGGUGGCCGCUAUUAUUGGGCCUAAAACGUCCGUAGCCGGUUUAGUAAAUGCUUGGGUAAAUUGUGUAGCUUAACUAUACGAAUACCGGGUAGACUGCUAAACUUGGGACCGGGAGAGGCUAGAGGUACUCCUAGGGUAGAGGUGAAAUUCUGUAAUCCUAGGGGGACCACCAGUGGCGAAGGCGUCUAGCUAGAACGGGUCUGACGGUGAGGGACGAAGCCCUGGGGCGCGAACCGGAUUAGAUACCCGGGUAGUCCAGGGUGUAAACGCUGCUUGCUUGAUGUUAG